rnacentral:tRNA from 1 species
UGGCUGAAUUAGGCAAUAAAUUGUAAAUUUAUU